UGGAUUCAAGAUCCUGUGGUUCUGUGUUAUAAAUAACUCUAAAAGCCAGUAACACUGUCCGGUACAAACAGAAAGAGUCACGCUCUCUUCUCUGAAGUUCCUCUGUUGUCUUAUUAAUAGCUGUAACCAUUAAUUAGUAACUGAAAUAAUUUAAUUGUUUUAUGUUAAAAAAAGAACUAUGUAAUGUCACAACGGACAUGGAAUAAGUAGAAAAAGCAAGUGCAUUCAAUUUAUGAAUGAGAAGAUUACAAUUGCACUCUGAAAACAAAAAAUAUUACUCAAGUUACUGAAACUGGAGAAACAAGGUCAGGGGAAAACUGACAGCUACCUGGAAGAAGAGAGUAGGAAUGAUACAGACCAGACUUCAAAGGAAGAGUUGGUGCAAGAAGGAGUACUGCUACUUAUCACAAGUUACAGUACUUGCAAAAGGGAGCCAUCCACAACUGCUACUCAUUUCUUCUGUUAGAGGUAA